rnacentral:rRNA from 1 species
CGCAUCUGUGCAUGCAGCAUAUCAAUAAGCGGAGGAAAAGAAAAUAACAAUGAUUUCCCUAGUAACGGCGAGUGAACAGGAAAGAGCUCAAAGUUGGAACCUGCUUGACUUAGUUAAGCCGGAUUGUAAACUGUAGAAACGUUUUCUAGGCAAGCCGAGUUAAAAAGUCCUUUGGAACAGGGCAUCAUAGAGGGUGAGAAUCCCGUCUUUGGCUCGAGUAUUUUGUCUUUUUAUGAUACGUUUUCCAAGAGUCAGGCUGUUUGGGAAUGCAGCCUAAAUUGGGUGGUAAAUCUCACCUAAAGCUAAAUAUUGGCGAGAGACCGAUAGCGAACAAGUACCGUGAGGGAAAGAUGAAAAGAACUUUGAAAAGAGAGUUAAACAGUACGUGAAAUUGUCAAAAGGGAAGCGUUUGACACCAGUGUUGUUUUUCUGAAAAUCAAUUAAAGAACUGUUUAUGCUAAGUUGUUUAGACUUUAUCAGCUAACUGUUUAGUUUUGAGCUUUUCUUUAAUGCACUUUUCAGUUAACAAGUCAACAUCAAUUUCUUUUGCUGUAAAAAAGCUUGAGGAAGGUGGCUUGAGAUUCGUCUUAAGUGUUUAUAGCCUCUUGCCUAUGCAGUCGGAGAGAUUGAGGUCUGCAGCAGUAGAUCCUUCGGGGCUAAAUGCAUUUGUGCUAAGUUAUAGCAUUUUAUAGACAACUUGUUGACUAUGAUUUGUCUUGUAGCUUACUCGCUUAUGUUAUUUUACCUACGCUUAGGAUGUUGACUGAUAUGUAGUCGUA